rnacentral:misc_RNA from 1 species
AUGCUCAUUCAAAUUAGAAGAUGUCGAAGACAAAAGGAAUCUGAUUACAAAUAAUGAGUAAAAAGGAAGAAUCCCUUGAGCAUUUGAGACAAACAGAUAAACACUCCUAUUCAAAGCUAAUCUUGAAGCGGAAAAACCAAACAUUGCAGUGUGCGUACCGGGAAACAGCUGAGCUCUAGGGUUUACCCAGACGCGCAUUAAGUUUUAUCAAAUUUCUGCAAAUACUCUCUUGACGAUGGCAGGAUUAUGCGUUUGAUCCGAUGAUUAGUGAAACGGUG